AAAUUUAAGUUAAAUUAAACUAAAGGCCUUCAAAGCCUUAAACAGGGCAGACCACACCCUAAUUUCUG
rnacentral:tRNA from 1 species